ACUCACCUGGCAAUGGGUAAAGAGACACCUUGUUGGUGGUAUCGCCUUAUAUCAGUAAGGGACAGAGCAGAUGGCAGGCCUUUGCUCAUCCUAGUUUGAUGCCUGGUUUGGUGACCAAAAUCAUCUUAUGUCUAGGACACAUAA